UGAACCUAAAUCAGACAGGUUGAUAGUGUGU
rnacentral:piRNA from 1 species